ACUUGACCUUUAAACCAGUCCCAUUUGGGUUGGCGUACAAUUUCUAUUAGGUUUAGUGAAAUUAUGAAAAUAGCUCCUGGGUUACCACCAUAACCUAUUUAGAAAGAUGGAGGAGCAGCCUGCCGGCCCUCUCUUCUCCCUGCUUCUUUCCCUUCCUCCUUUCUCCCUCUGUCCCUCCUUCCCUCUCUCUCUCCCUCCCCCACUCCUCCCUUCCUCCCUUCCUCCUUUCCUUCCUUGCUUCCUUCCAUCCUCCCUUCCCUUUCCCUCCCUCUUUCUCUCAAGCACCAUCCCUUUAAGCACACAUUUAAUUGGACAUUCAUUCCAUUAAUCAUUUUUGGCUCCACCCAUUUGUUCAACAAAUCUUUGCUGGGUGGAUGCUCCCUGCCCGGCCCGUGGUAAGGUCCUGCUCUUAGAGGAUGCUGCCAGGUCCUGGGAAUGUGGGACUUCCUGGGUUCCCUCAAGAAGCCAAGGUCUGACACAGGAAGCACAGGGCUCAGGAGGACACAGGGAGGGGGCAGCAAUGCCGGCUGUGUCCCCUCUGGGAUGCUCGUGUGUGAAAGGUAAAAAUAGAGUCUACACAGGCGACGGGAUGCUCCUGGGAACUUGCAGCCAGCCCAGCCCUCCCUCCAGGAUUCAGGCAGCAACAGCUUCCCCAGAGUCGGUUCGGGCUCAGCCACCAGCCCAGCAUUUUCCUGGUGCCAAGGUCAGCUCCUCGGCAGGCCCUGAACUUGUGGUUUGGAGAAAUAAAUGACAUGCUGAUUACUUAAUCCUAAAACAACAGGAAUUUUCUCUUUUUUAAGGGGCAAUGACAGGAAGCUGGCAACGUUGCAGAACCAGCCACAAGCAUCUCGGGCUAUGUUCCGGGGGACAGAGCGGGGUGGGGACUGUGCUGCAGAACUGAACCAGGGUUUAGGGCUGGCCUCUCCCUGCACCUUAUGGCAUCUGUGUCUGGAGGCUCUUCUCCAUGCCGAGAAUGCAGCUCUGCGCCGUCCACUCGGCUUGUCCCUCCUCCCAGCUCUCCUGGCCUCCUUGUGUCCUGGCGGCACUGGAGCCCUGGGGAUGGGCUGCAACUUCGGAAGGAAAUUCCCUUGGUGGGCUGCUUCCCUGGUCUCCAGACCUCAGCAAGCCAGGUCAUUUGGACUUGACUUCAGGCUCCAAAAAAGUUAAUGGUUCACGAAGGGAAAGCACCAAAUAGCCGUGGCCGCGAGCCACCGAGUGUACCCGGAGGCGCAGAGACCAUUGCCACUAAACUUUGGUUCUGUCAAUCAUUUGGGCCUUCUCUCAUUGGAUAAUGAUACCCCACACACCCACAAACCCUGGGCCAAAUCCUGUGUGUGCCCCUGGGGACAGAGGGCUGAGCAGCAAGUGUGGCCCUCGUGGAGCUCAGGGUUACAUGGAAGAUGCAGGCUUAGGAAGUAACCAGGCAGCCCCAGGAGGAACGGCAGCUUCGAAUAAACGAAAGCCAGGACUGAGAGGACAUGUGACAGCAGGCCUCUCAAGCACUUCAGCCGCCCCCAGAGGGUGGGACGGGGACCCCCAAAAUGUUCCCCGUCUUAACCCGCAGAACCUGUAAACGGAAACUCGCUUAAGACUAGGGUCUUCGCAGAUGUGAUUCAACUAAGGAUCUCAAGAUGAGACCAUCCCGAUUUAGGGUGGGCCCUAAAUCCAAUGGCUAGUGUCCUUAUAAGAGAUAGGGGAGGGACACUUAAGCCCCAGAAACCCAGAGAAGAAGGCCAUGCAGAGUGGAGGCAGAGGCUGGGGUGAGGCGUCUGCAAGCCAGGAAACACCUGGAGCCACCAGUGACCGAGAGACAAAGAGGGACUCUGCCCUCAAGCCCUCAGGGGGAGCAUGGCCCUGCCCACACCUUGACCUUGGAUUCCUGUCAUCCAGAAGUGUGAGAAAGUAAAUUUUUAUUGUUUAAGCCCCCAGUUUGUGGUCAUUUGUCCCAGCAGCCCCAGGAGACCCAUACAACGACCUAAAGAAGAAAAUCCGUCUCCCAUGCCAGCCCGUGUGAGCAUGUCGUCUCUGCGAGUUUGUGCGAGUGUUGCAUUGUUGCUGGUGCUGGUCCUCACCUCCCCUUGGUCUGCGAGGAAGACACCUGCAGACACUACUUCUGAGGGUGCCUCAGAGGUGAAGUCUGGAGAAUGAGCCUCAGCCAGUUCAACCCUGUCCCCUGCCCCUCCUGGCACCUUCCCACCUGCGUGUCCUUCGGGCUUCCUAGGGCUGCCCAUCUCCCUCCCAGAACUGGCUGUAGAAUUG
rnacentral:lncRNA from 1 species